CCUACGGGUGGCAGCAGUGGGGAAUAUUGGGCAAUGGAGGCAACUCUGACCCAGCAAUGCCGCGUGAGUGAUGAAGGUAAUUUUAUUGUAAAGCUCUUUUCUUUGGAACGAAUAAAUGACGGUACCAAAGGAAUAAGCCCCGGCUAACUACGUGCCAGCAGCCGCGGUAAUACGUAGGGGGCAAGCGUUAUCCGGAUUUACUGGGUGUAAAGGGAGCGUAGACGGUGAGACAAGUCUGAAGUGAAAGCCCGGGGCUCAACCCCGGGACUGCUUUGGAAACUGCCUGACUGGAGUGCUGGAGAGGCAAGCGGAAUUCCUAGUGUAGCGGUGAAAUGCGUAGAUAUUAGGAGGAACACCGGUGGCGAAGGCGGCUUACUGGACUGUAACUGACGUUGAGGCUCGAAAGCGUGGGGAGCAAACAGGAUUAGAUACCCCUGUAGUC
rnacentral:rRNA from 1 species